rnacentral:rRNA from 1 species
CCUACGGGAGGCAGCAGUGGGGAAUAUUGCACAAUGGGGGAAACCCUGAUGCAGCGACGCCGCGUGAGUGAAGAAGUAAUUCGUUAUGUAAAGCUCUUUUAGCAGGGAAGAAAAUGACGGUACCUGAGUAAGAAGCCCCGGCUAACUACGUGCCAGCAGCCGCGGUAAUACGGAGGGGGCAAGCGUUAUCCGGAUUUACUGGGUGUAAAGGGAGCGUAGACGGUUGUGCAAGUCUGGAGUGAAAGGCGGGGGCUCAACCCCCGGACUGCUGUGGAAACUGUACGGCUUGAGUGCAGGAGAGGUAAGUGGAAUUCCUAGUGUAGCGGUGAAAUGCGUAGAUAUUAGGAGGAACACCAGUGGCGAAGGCGGCUUACUGGACUGUAACUGACGUUGAGGCUCGAAAGCGUGGGGAGCAAACAGGAUUAGAUACCCGAGUAGUC